AGUGAACGCUGGCGGUAGGCCUAACACAUGCAAGUCGAACGGCAGCACAGUAAGAGCUUGCUCUUACGGGUGGCGAGUGGCGGACGGGUGAGGAAUACAUCGGACUCUACUUUUUCGUGGGGGAUAACGUAGGGGAACUUACGCUCAUACCGCAUACGACCUACGGGUGAAAGCAGGGGAUCUUCUGACCUUGCGCGAUUGAAUGAGCCGAUGUCGGUUUAGCUAGUUGGCGGGGUAAAGGCCCACCAAGGCGGCGAUCCGUAGCUGGUCUGAGAGGAUGGUCAGCCACACUGGAACGGAGACACGGUCAAGACUCCUAAGGGAGGCAGCAGUGGGGAAUAUUGGACAAUGGGGGCAAGCAUGAUCCAGCCAUACCGAGUGGGUGAAGAAGGCCUUCGGGUUGUAAAGCCCUUUUGUUGGGAAAGAAAAGCAGCAGGUUAAUACGCCGCUGUUCUGACGGUACCCAAAGAAUAAGCACCGGCUAACUUCGUG
rnacentral:rRNA from 1 species